GACGAACGCUGGCGGCGUGCCUAAUACAUGCAAGUCGAACGCAUUUUCUUUCACCGUAGCUUGCUACACCGAAAGAAAAUGAGUGGCGAACGGGUGAGUAACACGUGGGUAACCUGCCCAUCAGCGGGGGAUAACACUUGGAAACAGGUGCUAAUACCGCAUAAUUCCAUUUACUGCAUGGUAGAUGGAUGAAAGGCGCUUUUGCGUCACUGAUGGAUGGACCCGCGGUGCAUUAGCUAGUUGGUGGGGUAACGGCCUACCAAGGCUGCGAUGCAUAGCCGACCUGAGAGGGUGAUCGGCCACACUGGGACUGAGACACGGCCCAGACUCCUACGGGAGGCAGCAGUAGGGAAUCUUCGGCAAGAGACGCAAGUCUGACCGAGCAACGCCGCGUGAGUGAAGAAGGUUUUCGGAUCGUAAAACUCUGUUGUUAGAAAAGAACAAGGAUGAGAGUGGAAAGUUCAUCCCUUGACGGUAUCUAACCAGAAAGCCACGGCUAACUACGUG
rnacentral:rRNA from 1 species